GACGAACGCUGGAGGCGUGCUUAACACAUGCAAGUCGAACGAUGAAAUGGAGCUUGCUCCAUGGAUUAGUGGCGAACGGGUGAGUAACACGUGAAUAACCUGCCCUUAAUUUUGGAAUAACCCAGGGAAACCUGGGCUAAUACCGGAUAAGUAAACCUGUGGCAUCACAUGGUUUUGGAAAGUUUUUCGAUUAAGGAUGGAUUCGCGGCCUAUCAGCUUGUUGGUGUGGUAAUGGCUCACCAAGGCGACGACGGGUAGCCGGCCUGAGAGGGUGACCGGACACACUGGGACUGAGAUACGGCCCAGACUCCUACGGGAGGCAGCAGUGGGGAAUAUUGCACAAUGGGCGCAAGCCUGAUGCAGCGACGCCGCGUGAGGGAUGACGGCCUUCGGGGUGUAGACCUCUUUCAGCUAUGACGAAGCGCAAGUGACGGUAGUAGCAGAAGAAGGACCGGCCAACUACGUGCCAGCAGCCGCGGUAA
rnacentral:rRNA from 1 species